AGAGCCUGGGCGGGAUUUUCUCCUGGGAGCAGUGUCACCAGACAGAUCCCACGAUAGCCAACACCUUUCUGGGCAGACCUAUGAGACCAGGAUCAAGUUUCUCCCUCAGCGUGUCCUAGAGGGUGGCACAUCUAACACUGCGAUGCAUGAGGGGUUGGGCUGCAAAGAGCAACAGAAAACUGGGAUGGUAAGGAGCUGACCCUCAAGAAAGAGGAACCUCAGUCACAUAACUGCAAGGAACUGAAUUCCACUAACAGCCGCAAGAAAGUGGACCUUGAGGUCUAGAAAGGAACAUGGCCCAGUGACACCUUACCACAGCCUGUAGGACCCUGAGCGGAGGGCCAGCUGGGCUGGACUAGACUGCUGACCUUGGAGAUGGUCCCUUGGAGGAGUGAGGGUGAGGCCAUGACACUGGCCUGAAAUCCAGCUCUGCUCAGAGACCUCAGCUCAGCCCUGGAACCCUCCUAUUCCAUUUGGCACAGCUGGGCACCCCUUCACUCGACUGAAUUUCUUUUGCUUCUAUUUCCUUAUCCUUUAUUAUCAGUUAUUCUAUGGAAGGGACUAAUGAAAAUAUGCCAUUUAGCUAUAAAGAUACAUCAGCUUUAGGUUCAUAUAAUUAUUAAAAGAAAAGUGCAUAAAUGCACAUUAAAGUUAUUGUCCAGACCUAGUGAACUAAGAAAACGCUGAAGGUGGAAGGCGAGGUGGAACCCUUCUGGAAUGCAGCCUCUUAUAAAAACUGAUCUGCUACAAGAAAGGACAUGUUAUGUAUUUGAGCUGAGUUAGGUGUCAUUCUAUUUAUUUAAAUAUUUUCUAUAAAAUCACAUUUUUUAGGAUUUUCACAUAUGUACUAAAAUCAGAAUAAACUUGCCACUUUUUAUGUCCAUUAAACUUUAUCUUAUAAACAGGAAUUGAAGUGUCUGUCUUACUGACAUAAGCCUCUAAACUGCAGUCAACAAGGAUGUCCUAGACCUGGAGUUUAAUCUAUACCUUGUCCUGUGUUAACAGUUUGAAGGUACUUUACUUAAGUCCUAUCAUUUUUAAUUUAAUGAAUAAAAAUGUCCAAAAGGUAUUAGAAGAUGUGAUGUGCUUUAUAGGAAGUAAUAUCACUUAUGUGGCACUCUUGCCCAAAAGAUACCUAAAUCUAAACAUCACAUACCUCCAAAAUGAGGAGCAUUCUAUAAAAAAAUUGGCUUUUAAAAUAUUAAUGUCAUGAAAGAUAAAGUAUGCUGAGGGGAUAUUCCAGAUUAAAGGAGAUGGAUGAACAUAGCUAAAUACAAUGCAAGGUUGAGGGGUUUCUCUAAAAGAAGUUAUUGGGAUAAUUGGCAAAAUUGGAUACUUGUUAUGGUAAUGAUGUUGCCUUUUCUGAUUUUGAUCAUCACAGUGUACUAAUGUUAGGAAAAUGUCCUUGAUCUUAGACAGUUUUAAAAUGUAAAAAUAGCCUGGCAUUUUUGUGACACAUAUCUGUAAUCCAAGCACUAGGGGAGGUCAA